GACUAAUUUGGUUUUGCUGGUUUGUGAUCGGUAAUUUAAUUCAGUUUGUGAAUUUUUUUGCAGGGUAAGGCUGGGGUUGAGAACACAAGGUCUUGCCGUGGCCCAUAACGUUACAUUCUGUCUGGCUGCGGGGACAGGAACUUCACUUUUCCAUUCGACAGAAGGUUGCAAUUAUCCAGUUUUUCCUAGACAGAAGAGAAGCUGGGGCGGCGGCGUCCUUGCGUAGGAGGGCGACGCCAUUGAAGACAUGGAAUUCUUUCUACAGCCGGUUAAAAGGUGAUGUAUCCCUAGACUCGUUCAAUUACGUAAGAUGAUAUAGCUGGAGCUGCAAUUUCUUAGAGAUUUCCCCCUCCCAACAUGUCAGGAUUCCAAUCCUUGAGGGGAUGGAUGGCACCGAUAGCCUGCUGGAUAUGGGGAAGUACGCCUGCCGACCCUUGGAGCUCCACUGCUGGCAGCCAUGAGUCAUAAGAAGUGGAAGUGAUGAGUGGGAGCCGUAGCUCCUAGAUGUGGAUGCCGGACCAGUUAACGGGAAGCGCAGCUCUCCGACUAUAUCUCAGCAAUCGAUGGGGAAGGUGAAUCCAGAGACUCCUGGAUGGACAAAAAGGGGAAGCAGGGUUAGAGAAUACACAGUCAUGCCGUUGUGAAUGCCCUGCACUGACCCAGUUGCUUAGGUCAGAGGACAAUGGUUUGUAAAUGUCUAAGCACAAGGAGAAAUACAAUCAUUCACUCUCUCCAAAUUGGCGGGUAACCGUUCACUGGCCGUCCCAAACACAUAGAUGUUUACAACAUAAUUAGGAGAUUUUUUGGUUAAAUAGAAAAGUCCCCUUCACUAAGCGAUCACUGAGAGCAUUGUGCAGGAACUUGGGUUGUGACCAAGCGGAUGAUGAUGUGAGGAAAACGAUGGAAUUAUUUAAGGAGUUGGGUGCCAACAAUCCGUGGUUCACAUAUCGAGUUGAAGCAGAUUUGGAGGGCCGAAUAAAAUGUUUGAUGUGGAUGAAUGGUAGCAGCCAUUUGCGACUACAGGCGUCUGCGUGGUUUACAGGCGAGAUGAACCCUAGAGCUCUUGGCUGGACACAACAGUAUGUGCAUUCAGUGCUACAAAUUCCGAAAAAAGGUAACGAUUGGUGUGGCUGCGUAAAGGAGGACACCUUGUCCUAAUCGCCCAAGUUCGUUGGAGAAAGCAAUUCGUGGGUUCGCUGAGAAUCCAGGGGAAAAUGUGAUUGUACUGAAACUGGGUAUAAGAUUUGAUCUUUAGGUGAAGCAUACAACUUGUACUCCUGCGGGAAGGGGUUUGGUAUUACAUAUUGGAAAAGCAGACUAAAUGUUUAGAGGACAAAAUGCAGGCAGGAAAUCAUUUGCAGCUGUGCGGGAAGGCUGGCGUUGAGAACAGUCGGUCAUGCCAUUGUGAGUGUUGGGCUCUUAUACGAUUGUUGCGAUCGAAAGGCAAUGGUUGGUGCAUAUCAGAGCAUCGGGAGCAACACAUCCAAUCUUUGUCUCCUAAUUGCGGAGAGACAAUACACUGCCUUCACACAAACACAUCGACGUUUACAACCGAGACUGGUGAAGCAGCUACGGCAAAAUAACGUCAAUCUAGCCAAGGUAUACAACAUCAUAGAGAGUUUUUUCACCAAGCGAGCUCUCCAUAAUUUGUGUGGGGAAAUAAACCAUGAGCAGGCAUAGGACGAUGUGAGCAAAACUAUGUAGGUUUUCACUGAACUGGGUGCAAAGGAUCGACAUUUCACGUAUCUUGUGCAGGCUGAUAAGGAAGGGUGAAUCAGUAAAAUUUGGGUGAAUGGGAGCAGUAGAUUGCAGUAAAAUUUUGAGGAUAACACAAAAAAAUCAAAAUUUUAACAACAAGGGCAGGAGGUUUGCCCAAGCUGUGUAGUGUAUAAGCAGGGGGGUGAGGGGUAGGUGAGGGGCACACUCUGAUUUCAGUCAUCCACGUGAAGCUGUAGUUGGAAUAAGAUCAAGUUUCAGUGGGAGGUGAAAUAGAGUGAAUGGCUCUGACCGACUUAUCUAGCGCCUCCUCUGUGGCUACGGGUUUCAAAAUAUACUGAACUGAUUAUAGAUGAUUCUGAUUAACAGCUGUAAGUUCAGAGCAUUAGCUCAGUUCC